ensembl:lncRNA LINC02115 long intergenic non-protein coding RNA 2115
AAGGAAUCCGAAGCUCUGGUGUCAGCAGAAUUGAUGAGCUCUGCCCCUGGGGAACACCAACACAACUUCAUUGAAAGAGUUACAGGGAUUUCAUGUUUCGGAGGAAUUAUAUACAGAGGUUUCUGUUUGAAGCACGCAGAGUAUGACUGCAUCUUUAAAAUCUUCUAAAGCAAGGGACGCACACCACUGCUGGAAUGCACAAUGGUUUGGAGUGGUGCAAGGGCAGUGAAAACUGAAGACCCACAACUCCCCAAAAUGAUGAGGAAAAGAAGAAAAGGCUGUAAAAAAUGGGAAAUCUUGAAUACCACAGUAUAGCUCAGAUUGUGACCAGGCCCACUGGAAACUGUUUCAGUACCUGACAAGAGAGACCUUCCUACAGGCUAGAAGAGAGGCAAAUGGGAAUGGUGUAUCUCAGCCUGCUGGCUGAGCAUG